UUGAAUAAACUUGAACAGGCUGUUGCUGGUCUCUCUUUUUAAGGGGAGCAUGUGCACGCUUGGUCAUCUCUAUUCUUCCCAAACUUGUGCACUCAUUGUAGACCUGGAGUAAAAUCAUAUAUAGAUUUUGAUUGGGGACUGCUGCUGUCUUUCCUUGCAAUUUUUCAGGUCUAUGUCCUUAUUUUUUUAACAAUCCCAGAAUGUAUGAAAGACAAAAGUGUUAUAAUAUAUGUAUA
rnacentral:misc_RNA from 1 species